CCUACGGGUGGCUGCAGUUUCGAAUCAUUCACAAUGGGCGAAAGCCUGAUGGUGCGACGCCGCGUGAGGGAUGAAGGCCUUCGGGUUGUAAACCUCUGUCACUGGGGAAGAAACGCUUCAAGUUAAUAGCUUGAAGCCUGACUUAACCCAGAGAGGAAGCAGUGGCUAACUCUGUGCCAGCAGCCGCGGUAAUACAGAGACUGCAAGCGUUAUUCGGAUUCACUGGGCGUGAAGGGUGCGCAGGCGGCCGGGGCUUAACCUCGGAAUUGCGUCUAAAACUACACGGCUAGAGCAUUGGAGAGGGUAGCGGAAUUCACGGUGUAGCAGUGAAAUGCGUAGAUAUCGUGAGGAACACCAGAGGCGAAGGCGGCUACCUGGACAAUUGCUGACGCUCAGGCACGAAAGCGUGGGGAGCAAAAGGGAUUAGAUACCCCUGUAGUC
rnacentral:rRNA from 1 species